rnacentral:lncRNA from 10 species
GGCUGAGGCAGGAGAAUCACUUGAACCUGGGAGGCAGACAUUGCAGUGAGCCAAGAUCACGCCACUGUACUCCAGCCUGGGAGACAGAGAGAGACUCCUUCUCAAAACAAAACAAAACAAAAAACAGGUACUUCAACAACCAGAGUCAUUGGCUGCCUUGAUUGAUACCUCUGAACAGACUGGAAACACAAGGAUCUAACUUGGGUUGAGGCACUGGGAAGGAAAAAUGUGGAGGGGAGGAUCUGACAAAGCACAUGUUCAGCAAAAAACAAUCACACAAGAGCUGAAGGGCAUGAAGUGGAGUCAAGGAGUGACCUUUGCACAAUUCUUUUUUCUCUUUUUGAGAGAGGGUCUCACUAUGUUGCCCAGGUUGGAGUGGAGUGGCUAUUCACAGGCACAAUCAUAGCAAACUCUGACCUUGAACUCAUAGCCUCAAGGGAUUCCCCCUACUCAACCUCCCAUGUAGCUGGGACUACAGGCACACGCAACCUUGGCCCAAUUCUUUCAACAGACUACAGAUCCCUCUUAGAAUUAUUUUCUUGGGCUACCUCUAGGUGAUAAAAUGCAUAAGGUGAAUAAGGAAAAUAUUUUACUGACCUUCCAAUGAUCACAAGUCCCUGCCCCCAGGCAUCCUGGCCUCAAUAGUUUGGGGAUGGGGGAUGGGAAGUUUUUUUGUCCUUUCUCUGUUGUGACCUCACAUCGACCUCCAUUUCAUAAGCUGAAACACUCCUUUUCAGAGAGCUAAAGAUCCAGGGCUGCAGGUCCUGGCACAAUAGGUAAGUCUAGAACCCAGAAAAAGUCCAAAGAUUAGUCUUCCUAUACUAUUAAGAAAAAAUAGGCCGGGCACGGUGGCUCACGCCUGUAAUCCCAGCACUUUGGGAGCCGAGGUGGGCGGAUCACCUGAGGUCAGGAGUUCGAGACCAGCCUGGCCAACAUGGUGAAACCCCAUCUCUACUAAAAAUACAAAAAAUUAGCCAAGUGAGGUGGUGCGCACCUGCAGUCCCAACUACUUGGGAGGCUGAGGCAGGAGAAUUGCUUGAACCCCAGAGAGGGAGGUUGCAGUGAGCAGAGAUCAUGCCACUGCACUCCAGCACCUGGGUGACAGAGCGAGACUCUGUCCCAAAAAAAACAAAAAAAAAAAGAAAGAAAAGAAAAGGAAAAGGAAGAAAAAAUAGCAUAGUAUAGUAGUUAAGCACGUGGACACUGAAGCCAAACUAUCUAAAUUAAGAUCUUACUUCUACCAUUUAACCAGCUAUGUGACCUUGGGCAACUUGUUUAAACCUCUCUAUGUAACAGUUUGUUUAUUUAUAAAAUGAGAGAUAAUAAUAAUGCCUACCUCAGAAGAUUGUGAGAAAUUUAAAAAUAUAUGUAAAAUUUAGAACAAUGCCACAUAAGUGAUUGUUAUCUAAAAUAAAAGAAGAGACAUAUCCCUCAUUACCCCCCUGAUUAAUUUACUUUCUUUCUUUCUUUUUCUUUUUUUUUUUUUUUGAGACAGAGUCUCACUCCAUCACCCAGGCUAGAGUGGAGUGGGGCGAUCUCAGCAACCUCCUCCUCCUGGGUUCAAGCAAUUAUCUCGCCCCAGCCACCCAAGUAGCUGGGAUUACAGGCAUGCACCACCAUGUCUGGCUGAUUUUUUUAUUUUUAGCUGAGGUGAGGUUUCACCAUGUUAUCCAGGCUGGUCUCGAACUCCAGACAGCUCGACUCAAGCUAUCCGCCUGCCUCGGCCUCCCAAAGUGCUUGGAUUACAGGAGUGAGCCACAGCACCCACUUAGCCUCAGGGUGUUCUUUUUCACACUUCCAGUGUGCUUCACAAGCCUGUGGAUUAAACCCUGUAACCUUCUAAAAAUUAUUUGAACUUUCUUAACUUUUCAGUACACAACUCCAAAGAAAAGCUUCCCACCAUUUGGAGUGAUAAACUGAGGAACAGAGAGUGCUGGAUAUACAAUGUGAUGCCACAGGUCUUCCAGACUUUUUCUUUCAAGCUGAUGAUGAACCUAAGCAAAGCUGGAGGAAACACUAAGCCAGAGGCAGCAAAUCAGGGGCCCAUAGGCCAAACCAGCUUGCAGACAUUUAGAAACCCAUAUUUCCGGCUGGGUGCGGUGGCUCACACCUGUAAUCUCAGCACUUUGAGAGUCUGAGGCAGGCAAAUCACCUGAGGUCAGGAGUUAGAGAUCAGCCUGACCAACACGGCGAAACCCC